UACGUAGGGUGCAAGCGUUGUUCGGAAUUACUGGGCGUAAAGCGCGCGUAGGCGGGCUUGUAAGUCGAUUGUGAAAGCCCUGGGCUUAACCCGGGAAUGGCAGUCGAAACUACAAGUCUUGAGUGCCUGAGAGGAUGGCGGAAUUCCCGGUGUAGAAGUGAAAUUCGUAGAUAUCGGGAAGAACACCUGAGGCGAAGGCGGCUAUCUGGCGGUGCACUGACGCUAAGGCGCGAAAGCGUGGGGAGCAAAC
rnacentral:rRNA from 1 species